GCAGUAGCCACGGGAACACGGAGGGUGCAAGCGUUAUCCGGAUUUACUGGGUUUAAAGGGUGCGUAGGUGGGUCUGUAAGUCAGUGGUGAAAUCUCCGAGCUUAACUCGGAAACUGCCAUUGAUACUAUAGGUCUUGAAUCAUCUGGAGGUGAGCGGAAUAUGUCAUGUAGCGGUGAAAUGCUUAGAUAUGACAUAGAACACCAAUUGCGAAGGCAGCUCACUACGGAUGUAUUGACACUGAGGCACGAAAGCGUGGGGAUCAAACAGGAUUAGAUACCCCAGUAGUCCCUGUCUCUUAUAC
rnacentral:rRNA from 1 species